rnacentral:tRNA from 1 species
GUGGGGGUAUUUCAGUGGUUAGAAUCACAGAUUGCAAAUCUGUUUGUCAUGGGUUCAAAUCCCAUUCUCCACU